rnacentral:rRNA from 1 species
AUGGCCCAUAGUGCCCCGUAUAAGAAGGCGAAGGAAUUCUCUGAGUCUGAUCUUGAUGAUCCAAAGAACUUCACCAACCGCGCCUCCCACAACAAGCUCGUGAGGUAUAGAGACGAGGGGAAGGCGAGGAAAGGGCCGGACUUUAACCCGAGCCAGCCUAUUGAUCCAGAGCUGGUGAUGAUAUCUGGUGGCGGGAGGAACCAUGGCUUGUUAGCCAUUGGGGAUGGACUGAUACGUUGUACUAGCACUCUCCCGCAGAUCAAGAGGCGCCAGACGAGCUCCGAUCCUGAGAUAAGGCCUCGUCCACGGCCAAUGGAUCUCGAAAUCAAGGCUGCUAUUGAGGAAGAGAGAGCAAAGACCCAGGAGCUUCUGGCGGAGGAAAGGAGGCAGGCGGGGGAGAGGGAGAGGGAGAUUGACGAGAGGACGGCUAGGCUUUUGGAGGAGGAGAGGAACCAGAACGACUUGGCUAACCGGGCCAUAUACGAGCUCUUCGCGUCCUUGUGCGAGAAGAACGGUCAGACCCCUCCGCCGAUGCCAGUCAUUGCUCCGGCGGACACACAUAACUCCCGACAAGCAUCGACGUCUGCCAUUGGCGCGAGCAAGAACCCCGAUCCUCCUCCGUCUGCCACUACCGCGAGCAAGAACCACGACCCUUCACCUACGGGUUGA